CAUCAGAGAAGAAAACAGUUAUGUGACCCUCAUUAGAAAGAGUUUGACUUGAUUUGAAGUCUGUAACCCCUUCCCCUUCGUUCCUACUGAACAUUACAACUAUAUAAAUUGAUACAAAGAAGUCAAACUGUUUUUAGGCUCAGUAUUUCUGACGUUACGCUCACACAGCAGCUGCUCUCCGGUCCUGUUUGCUCUGCGUUUAUCUUCCACCCACAGCCUGAAGCUGCAGUAAAUCCUCAGGCCGGGCUGUCAGAGACGCUCGUCGGCACAAACCUGCUGCCGGAUUAAACCGCAAAUAUAUGUGAUGGAGAUCGGUUGUGCCGCCGCUUAGAUCUCCCCGCCACGGUAAGGAAAUGACAGAACCUCAGUGAGGGCCAGCAGAUGGAGAGGAGCUGGAACAGGAACCAGAGGACUCAUCCAGAGGUCAGCAGAGGUCAGAGUUCCAAAAUCAACAUUCAGAAAGGGACACAAGGAUGAUCAGGAGUUAGAUCCAGGCCCAUCUGAGGUGGAUUUGGCAUGAAACAAGUUCUAUGACUUAUUUUAACUUUUAAAAACUCAUUUUUGAUCUAUUUUCAGAGCAUUUCCAGGAGUCUUUUAAUUAUAAUUUUGCCGUUUUUAACCAAAAUCAAGAAAUCUGAGUCGUUUUUUCAGGACGUUUUCAUCAGAAAAUCACCAAUAAGUUAAACUCAUUUGAUUGAGUCAAACCUUUAAUGAUAGAAACCCUCCUUUUUAAAAAUCUCUCACAAUUGAUCAAACCUGGAUUAAAAAGCAAUAAUCAACAUGAAACUGUAUUUUUUUUAAACAUGUGCUAUUCUAAAGAUACGUUCUAUUCCUGACUGAUUUUUUUUUUUUAAGUCAUUUCACAUAAAUCCCUCUUUCAACUCUGUAGAUGAAAAAUGCUUGACAGAGAAAUGACAGAGAGCUCCUCUGAGAAGAUCUUUAAUUGGACACACCUGGAGGAGGGGGCGGGGCUAACACAGGAGGACCUGCUGACACAAGGACAGCAGUGGAACCAGGAGAUGAUCAGAGUUUGGUCAAAAAUAGAAGCUAAACUCAAUCAAAUUAGUGAUUUCUUCUGCUGGGAUGAAAACCACAUUGAUGGAACUCAUCCAAGGAGGAUUUGGAUGCCGGACAGGAUUCUGGCUGAGCCGCUCGUCACCCAUCAUCAUUCCAGUAUUUCUGACAGCUGUUUUCUUUGUGCAUACUCAAACGGGUCAAUCUGCUGAGGUUUCUUGGUUUCCCUCCCAACAGUUUGGCCCCUCGCCCGUCUCUAGAUGACCUCUAAUAAUGCUGGCCCUCCACCUCUCAAACACAUCAGCAGCUCCGGAUCUCUGCAGCAGUCCCAUCUGUCCACACUUCUGUAGAUUUAAAGCUGCUUCCCUCCGAAGUGUCCUUUUCUGCUGGAUCAGGUUUUGUCAAGUUCAACUUCUGGGAUUCCAGAAGAACUUUUAGUGGAUAAAGGAAAGUUCUUCUAUCGUCUGUGGUUCUGAUCAUCACACGAUUAGCAAUAAUUGAUCUCAGGACUGGCAGAAGAUCAAUUCUUUUGGUGUUCCUGCAGAACUCUGCACAAUAUCAGACUUUAACAGUUUUAAAUGUCAGUUAAAAUGUAGUGCCAUUAUAUUUGUUUUAUUACAUUAAUAUUUUUCUAGUUUUUAUGCUGAUUUAAAUUUCAAACUUUCUUCUUUUAUUGUGAAGCACUUCGGUAAACUUAAAGGCGUUUUAAGUGUUAUAAAUAAAGCUUCACUAAAGACUUCCUGUCAUGAGCUCGAAAGAGGAAAUGUGGAAAAAACAUUCAAGGCUAUAAAAAAUUACACUUCUUCUUCUUAAAAACAUUAUUGUGAAGAGUUUUAAAAUUCCUUGUUUUGAAGCGUUAAAUGGUUUGUCAUCAAAACCAGCUGAGCUUAAACUUAUAAUAAAAAUUGAUUUUCCAUUCGACAAAUAAAUGCAGUUAACAUUUUAUUAAUGUUUAAAAAUAUUAAAACUCAUUAAAUCUUUUUUUAAACUGAUUUUUCCAAUUGUGGCAUCUGGAUAUUUAUUGUGUCAAAAAAUACUUAAACUACUGAAAAGAACACAUAAUAUUACAUAGCAAUUUAGGGAACAAAAUGUGGCAAAUAAAUAAAAUAUCACCUGAUUUUAUACUUUAUUCCUUCCAGUUAAUGAUUUUCAGACGCCAUCUUUUCUGCCACCAGGUCACACUGAAAAACAAAAAAAGCCUAAAUAUUAAAUUGACUCAUAUUUGGCUAAAUGUGAAGAUAUGAAAGUGUUGACUUAUGCAGAUGAUGUGACGGUUUAACAAAACAAGAUUAAAUAUAGUGGAAAUCAACCAGAUAAAUCUUAUAAAGUAGCAAAAAUAUCUUAAUUUAGGAGCUAUUUCAAACCAAAAACAUAAAAAAUAAUAAUUUCUGUUAAUGCCUAAAGGUACGAAAUGUAACGUAGAAGCUGUAAAAAGGCCCCUGAUGGAGCUAAAGUAAAGUUUAUCUGAACACGC